rnacentral:misc_RNA from 1 species
GGCUUGUAGCUCAGGUGGUUAGAGCGCACCCCUGAUAAGGGUGAGGUCGGUGGUUCAAGUCCACUCAGGCCUACCAGAUUCGCUCCCGUGCUUUGUUGUGGCAAAGCUCGCAUACUUCAGUAUGCUUCGCUUCACCACGCCGCGCCCGGAAACGAAUCAAAGGUAAGAGGUUCUGACUACACGAUGGGGCUAUAGCUCAGCUGGGAGAGCGCCUGCUUUGCACGCAGGAGGUCUGC